CUAAGGAUGAUCGUCCAGGUCUCACGACCUACUCGAUCGUCAAAGACAACUAAAUGAGCGGAUCGUCCGCCGUCUUCGUUUCUCUUUCCAAUCAUCGCUGACCGCUCGUCCAUCGGGACGGGGUAGGUCAUGCGAUGCGAUCGCGAGCCCCCAGGGCUGUCGCAAGACAGCAAUCGCCCUCGUAUGCGGGGCGACGCCUGAGCGGUGCGGCAUAGGCCUGUAGCUCAGGUGGUUAGAGCGUACGCCUGAUAAGCGUAAGGUCGGCAGUUCGAGUCUGCCCAGGCCUACCAAGCUCUCCUCCAUGGCGACGGACCUCGAUCCACGACCACGCUCCUGAUGGGGCUCCCAAGUUUGGGGCCAUAGCUCAGUUGGUAGAGCGCGUGCUUUGCAAGCAUGAGGUCGUCGGUUCGAUCCCGUCUGGCUCCACCAAAUCUCGCGAUCGGCGAAAGAACGGAUUUCACGUCAGUCUUCGGACUGCGCGUGGAUUUGACAUCGUAAAAGAAGGAUUUGCCCGGGACCCCUAGUCCUUGCAGGGCUGAUCUUGAUGAAAAAACAUUGUCUGGCAACAAAGCCCAGGCGUGGACGAGCAGACGUCGGUCUUCGGAUGGGCGACUUCUUCCCCGCGCAUGGGUUUUGCUGAGAAC
rnacentral:tRNA from 1 species